rnacentral:rRNA from 1 species
AUACGGAGGAUGCGAGCGUUAUCCGGAUUUAUUGGGUUUAAAGGGAGCGUAGGUGGGAUAUUAAGUCAGCUGUGAAAGUUUGGGGCUCAACCUUAAAAUUGCAGUUGAUACUGGUUUCCUUGAGUACGGUACAGGUGGGCGGAAUUUGUGGUGUAGCGGUGAAAUGCUUAGAUAUCACGAAGAACUCCGAUCGCGAAGGCAGCUCACCGGGCCGGAACUGACACUGAUGCUCGAAAGUGCGGGUAUCAAACAGGAUUAGAUACCCUGGUAGUCCGCACAGUAAACGAUGAAUACUCGCUGUUUGCGAUACACUGUAAGCGGCCAAGCGAAAGCGUUAAGUAUUCCACCUGGGGAGUACGCCGGCAACGGUGAAACUCAAAUGAAUUGGCGGGG